CCAACAGAAGUCAAAAAGUCACAGGGACAAUCGAGGCACCAUGCCGAACCACACCUUCGGUGGCGACAACUUCACGCGAAAGGCGAAACGCCUGGAAGCUCAAUUAGGUCGCGAGCCGACUCCCAUCGAGGUGUGGGAAGCUGGCCAUAGGGGAAGCGACCCUUCCAACCCUUUGUGCAGCCAGACACAAAGGGAGCGUCUGGCGGCAUAUGCGGAAGAGAUGAAGGACCGUCACGGAGAAGACUGCGAUUGGAGGAC